rnacentral:rRNA from 1 species
GGCUCAGGAUGAACGCUAGCUACAGGCUUAACACAUGCAAGUCGAGGGGAAACGAUAGAGAAAGCUUGCUUUUUCUAGGCGUCGACCGGCGCACGGGUGAGUAACGCGUAUCCAACCUGCCCACCACUUGGGGAUAACCUUGCGAAAGUAAGACUAAUACCCAAUGACGUCUCUAGAAGACAUCUGAAAGAGAUUAAAGAUUUAUCGGUGAUGGAUGGGGAUGCGUCUGAUUAGCUUGUUGGCGGGUAACGGCCACCAAGGCGACGAUCAGUAGGGGUUCUGAGAGGAAGGUCCCCCACAUUGGAACUGAGACACGGUCCAAACUCCUACGGGAGGCAGCAGUGAGGAAUAUUGGUCAAUGGACGAGAGUCUGAACCAGCCAAGUAGCGUGCAGGAUGACGGCCCUAUGGGUUGUAAACUGCUUUUAUAAGGGAAUAAAGUGAGUCUCGUGAGACUUUUUGCAUGUACCUUAUGAAUAAGGACCGGCUAAUUCCGUG